rnacentral:rRNA from 1 species
GGGGGAAUCUUUCCGGCAAUGGGGGGCGAAAGCCUGACGGAGCAACGCCGCGUGAGUGAUGACGGCCUUCGGGUUGUAAAGCUCUGUGAUCGGGGACGAACGGUCCGUAAGCUAAUAUCUUAUGGAAGUGACGGUACCCGAAUAGCAAGCCACGGCUAACUACGUGCCAGCAGCCGCGGUAAUACGUAGGUGGCAAGCGUUGUCCGGAAUUAUUGGGCGUAAAGCGCGCGCAGGCGGCUUUCUAAGUCCAUCUUAAAAGUGCGGGGCUUAACCCCGUGAUGGGAUGGAAACUGGAAAGCUGGAGUAUCGGAGAGGAAAGUGGAAUUCCUAGU